rnacentral:rRNA from 1 species
GAUUUCUGGCGAACCGUUGCGGCCCGUGCUCUUUACGGGCGUGAGUGCCGUGCCGUGUUUGUCAUCCUUCCAGAGAGCUGCGUCUACCAUUCACUUGGCCGGACGUACGUAAUCUAGGACUUCGGUUCUAUUUGUUGGUUUCUAGUAAUGAUUGAUAGGGACAGUUGGGGGUGCUAGUAUUCCGCGGCCAGAGGUGAAAUUCUUGGAUUCGCGGAAGACUAACUACUGUGAAAGCAUCACCAAGGAUGUCUU